GGUCUAAUAGUGUAGAGGUUAGCACACGGGAUUUUGAUUCAUCCCUACUUUCCAAUCUUCCCGUAACCCAGGUUCGAGUCCUGGUUAGACCU